rnacentral:rRNA from 1 species
GAUGAACGCUGGCGGCGUGCCUAAUACAUGCAAGUCGAGCGAACAGAUGAGGAGCUUGCUCCUCUGACGUUAGCGGCGGACGGGUGAGUAACACGUGGAUAACCUACCUGUAAGACUGGGAUAACUUCGGGAAACCGGAGCUAAUACCGGAUAAUAUAUUGAACCGCAUGGUUCAAUAGUGAAAGACGGUUUUGCUGUCACUUAUAGAUGGAUCCGCGCCGCAUUAGCUAGUUGGUAAGGUAACGGCUUACCAAGGCAACGAUGCGUAGCCGACCUGAGAGGGUGAUCGGCCACACUGGAACUGAGACACGGUCCAGACUCCUACGGGAGGCAGCAGUAGGGAAUCUUCCGCAAUGGGCGAAAGCCUGACGGAGCAACGCCGCGUGAGUGAUGAAGGUCUUCGGAUCGUAAAACUCUGUUAUUAGGGAAGAACAAAUGUGUAAGUAACUAUGCACGUCUUGACGGUACCUAAUCAGAAAGCCACGGCUAACUACGUG